GAGAUCAGUGCUGGGGUGGACAGUUGACAAGGACUCCCAUCAGUCUGUGGGGGAUGGGGAACCGAGAGGAAAGGAAGCAGGUCUAAAUGGGUAGGGAACAGGGGAGAGUCCUAGCAACAGUCCCUGUCACCAGCCCAUGUGACCCUGAAAGGUCCAGCCCUAUAAUGAGCUCAGUUCAGAGAGACAAAGGACAACAGAACUGACAUCGGACCAUCAGGCUUUGGAAGAAGUUCUGAAGCCUGAGCUCUUUUCCACAGAGGCAAGACUAAGCAGACAACAGACUAUGGAGCCCCCCUCAGUCCUUCUCCCAACACAUGUCCCCUGCUUGCAGGGGCUCCUGCUUGCAGCCUCAGUUUUAACCAUAUGGAACAUCCCCUCGGCUGCUGCACCUGCCAUUGAGGCAGUACCACCUACUGUCCUCGAAGGGAAGAACGUCCUUCUACUUGCUCACAAUCUGCCAGACAACCUUUCAGCCUAUCACUGGUUCAAAGGGAAAGAGCCACUGGACAAAGAUCUAAUUAUAAUGCAUGAAAUAAAAUCUCAAGAAACCAAACAAGGAAAACUACACAGUGGCAGAGAGACACUAUACCCUAAUGGAUCCUUGAUGUUACAGAAUGUCACCUUGAAGCAAUCUGGAAUCUACAACCUAAAUAUCCGUUCUGCAGAGUCUGACCAAAAAUCAAUGCUUGUGGAAGUCUCCAUAUACCCUCAGCUAUCCAAACCCUCCAUAAGAAGCAAUGGGACCACAGCAGUGGAGGGGCAAGACACUGUUGAAAUAACUUGUGACCCUCCCUUCCUGAAAACAACCUACACGUGGCGGCUAAACGGUAAGGAACUCCCAGGUGACACCAACGUCAGCCUGUCCCAGGGUAACACAACUCUCACUUUACUCAAGGUCUCCAGACAUUUAAAAGGACGCUAUGAGUGUAAAGUCCAGAACCCACUGGGUGUCUUUCGGAGUAACCCAUUCACUCUGGAUGUUUUCUACGGCCCAGAUAACCCCCAAAUAUUUCCCCCAGACAAAUACUUUGAGGAAGGGAAAAACCUGUGGCUAUCCUGCCAGGCGACCUCUCACCCCAAAGCACAGUAUUCCUGGAAUGUCAAUGGAGAACACUGGAGUUCUAGACAAGAUAUCUUUAUCCACAAGGUCAACAUGAGUAAUAGUGGAUUAUAUACCUGCCACGUCAACAACCCAACAACUGGCCGCAAUGAUUUCAAAGUCAAAGAAAUUACAAUAGUUGAGAAUUUGCUGAAGCCCCAUAUCCAAAUCAGAAAUAGAACUGUCCUAGAAAACCACUUGGUGGACCUGACCUGCGUAUCAGAGAAUACCGGAAUUUCCAUAUUAUGGACGUUCAAUAACGAGAGACUGAAGGCCACAGACAGGGUGAUGUUCUCCUGGAAUAAUCAAAGGCUCACCAUACGCCCAAUCACAAAGGAGGAUGCUGGGGCAUACCAGUGUGAGGUCUCCAACCCCUUCAUUUCCAAGUUGAGUGACCCAGUCAGCCUGGAUGUUCUUUAUCAACCAUCACAGAGAAAUUUCCCCAUGUCAGUUCCGGUUGCUGCUGCCUUGGCUGUUGAAGUUCUGGCUGGGCUGGCUAUCCUAGGAGGCCUGGCAUACUUCGUGUUUUUCAAGAAACUUAACCAUCAGCAAAAAAGGAGCCACAAAAAAAAAUACAAGAAACAAAAGGAAUGGACGAAAGAAAAAGAGCAGUGGGAGAAUGUAAAGGAUGAGGAGGAAGAGCAUGCUCAGUGAGGACAACUGGACCCAUCCACCCACAGUCACGUGACAACUCUCCUAAUGAGGUGGAUGAAGUGGCAUAUUCUAUCGUGAACGUCAACGCCCAGCAACCCAAACCACCAACUUCAACCUCCAUGCUACAACAGUCACAUAAACGGUUUUCUGAAGUGAAAAAAAAAAACAACGGGAUCUGUCCUGA